rnacentral:rRNA from 1 species
UACGGAGGGUGCGAGCGUUGUCCGGAAUCACUGGGCGUAAAGGGCGCGUAGGUGGCCUGUGGAAGUCUGCGGUGAAAGCCCGGCGCGUCAACGCCGGGUCGGCCGUGGAUACUCUCGGGCUCGAGCUUACUAGAGGCAGAUGGAAUUCCGGGUGUAGCGGUGGAAUGCGUAGAGAUCCGGAAGAACACCGGUGGCGAAGGCGGUCUGCUGGGGUAAUGCUGACACUGAUGCGCGAAAGCUAGGGGAGCAAACAGG